ACAGUUCCCAUCCACAAGGCAAUAAACUGAGCAUUAUUUUUGGAAAAAAAGUGGAAAAUACAAUGAGGCUGUAAAUGGAUGAAAAGCAUCAGUCUUAGAAGAAAGUUCCUUUUUGUUUGUUCUGUAGUAUCACUGUUAGUACUGAAUGCUGCUUUAUGCCAGAUCAACUAGACCUCUUCUAUAGAAAAAGUAAUUAAUGUACAUGAGCUGUCCUCUAUUGACAAGGUGCAAGACUGCACUUGCUCUUGUGGAACCUCAAGUUCUCUGCGCAACUCUCCAGCCUGUCCAGGUUUUGCUGAACGGCAGCACAGCCUUCUGGUGUGUCAGACACUCCUAUCAGCUUUGAAUCAUCAGCAAACUUGCUGAGGGUGAACUCUAUCCCUUCACUCAGGUCACCGAUGAACAUGUUGAACAGAACUGGACCCAGAACCAACACCUGGAGAAUACAACUAUUUACAAGCCUCCAUCUAAACUCUAAGCAGCAUUAUGCAUCUCUUCUGGUGUAAAGAACCCUCUUCCUCCUACUUCUUGUGAACAUAAAAAUGCCUUUGCCAGGAUCUGUGGAGCUGGACUGAAGCCUAUGAAUUGCAAUACUGGUAUACUGGCCACUGCUAAUACUCAGUUGCAAAUUUCUUAAAUAUUUUGUUUCAGGCAAAAUACUAUUUUCCUUGCUCGUUGCAGUAGGUCAGGCACCUUUAAAGAAUGAUUGGCAAUGGACAGCGUUGUUUCACGGGCUGGAUCAUCAUGAGCAAUAUAUUGCUGUGAGGGAGAAGGCCUGAUCACAUUUUCUUCUUGCUGUGUCCUCUUGCGUAAUAAGCUAUAUUUAGAAACUGCUUUUCUUAUCUGCUGACUCAUCUGUGUCAAAAAGAAGAACGUUAGUCUCUUUUUUAGACCAAGGAAGCAGUUAUAAUUCUUAUAACACAGGGAACCUCUUAGAAAUGGGAGCAAUUGUCUCUAACUCGGUGCUUGAGUAAGAUGAACAUAUAUCAGUAAAUAAAACAGGUCCUUUAUUGUGAUUUGGCCUACUUUGACUUCAUAUACAGGGCUGCAUGCCUGUGUGUCCCCACUUUAUCCACCAUCCAUCCUGCAUAUAAGGAACACUCUUUGUCCUGUGUUCUUGCCUGUAACCAUAUCCUGGCACUGUUUGGUACAAUGCUAGGUGGCACGGGCCAAAAAAGCAUCAGGUGGUGCAUCAACAAGCAGUGUCCCAAGACAUUGCAUCCUGUACGCAUACCUGCAUCCCAGCUUGUUCACUAGUACAGACGUGGCAGUGACUGUCAAUAACAAAAUUCCAGUUUCACAUUACUGUCUUUCAGUCGCAUCUGCCUUCUACUGCUUCUGUGUUCGUAUCCAGCUCCUGUUUCUGAAUCUGGAAGAACUUGGCUUUCUCUCACUUUGAGCCUCAAAGGACUUACUUAUUCAUUACCUACAAUGGGAGAAAGUAGCUCUGUGAUCAGUCUACUGGAAGAAGUCUUGGAAGACUCUGCCACCAUUCCUUUGAAGCAUUGGCUACAGAGGAUGAUUUAUCACUUAAGGCCUUUGAAUUUUUCAUUUAUUUGUUUAAUUAUUUUAUCUUCCAGCUAUAGAGAAAGGGUCAUCUUUUCCCCCUCGAGAUGCUUGUAAGGAGAUCCUGGUCCUCUACUGUAGUUCUCUUCUACAUAAAUAAAUAAAUAGUUAACUCC
rnacentral:lncRNA from 7 species